GAUGAACGCUAGCUACAGGCUUAACACAUGCAAGUCGAGGGGAAACGAUAUUGGAAGCUUGCUUCUGAUAGGCGUCGACCGGCGCACGGGUGAGUAACGCGUAUCCAACCUGCCCAUCACUUGGGGAUAACCUUGUGAAAGUAAGACUAAUACCCAAUGACGUCUCUGGAAGACAUCUGAAAGAGAUUAAAGAUUUAUCGGUGAUGGAUGGGGAUGCGUCUGAUUAGCUUGUUGGCGGGGUAACGGCCCACCAAGGCGACGAUCAGUAGGGGUUCUGAGAGGAAGGUCCCCCACAUUGGAACUGAGACACGGUCCAAACUCCUACGGGAGGCAGCAGUGAGGAAUAUUGGUCAAUGGACGAGAGUCUGAACCAGCCAAGUAGCGUGCAGGAUGACGGCCCUAUGGGUUGUAAACUGCUUUUAUAAGGGAAUAAAAGUGGGAGUCGUGACUCUUUUUGCAUGUACCUUAUGAAUAAGGACCGGCUAAAUUCCGUGCCAGCAGCC
rnacentral:rRNA from 1 species